rnacentral:snRNA from 1 species
ACGCAGGUGUCCUAAGAU